GGGUUGGCUUUGUGGACGUAUGUUUUACAAACUCGGUCAGGUUCGGAAGAAAGCAGCCGUCGUAAAAGCCAUGCGGGUCAUGGAUGUCCGGCCUCUC
rnacentral:SRP_RNA from 1 species